UGUGUAGCUCGAGGAUGAAAAUGGCGGUGGGGAGAGAUCAACGCGAGAAUCAAACACACAAAUGACCAUUUGACUUGGAUGACAGCAGCACUGCAGUAAAGAAGUAGCUUAUCGUCAACAAAGUGCAUUUACAACAACAAACACCCGGAGUUUAACGGGGGAAAACAUUUAAAAUAGCUCCUAAAAUUAGCCCGCUUACCUCGUUAGCUUAGCUAGCCUUCAACUGGAAGGUUUAACGGACACCACAUUAACGGAAUUAUUCAGUCAGAAUAAGACGAACUGCGCAUUUCUCGACUUACCUCUCAAAUGCAAGCUCAGUCGUAGGAGCUGGGCUUGUAGAAAUAUUUGCAUCUGAUUGAAUGCAUAACUAAUCGCUCCAUCUGGCAAUAUUAGCCAGUAAACACUAUCCUCCAAGCCUUCUCAAAGUUCAACGAGCAUCUGUAAGAGGAGAACGGACCAAACAGGUUGCAUUGAGCGCCCAUUUCCUCCUGCCUCCCCUAGUGGGAUGGUUCUGCAUGACAGGGAGGGUAUGGUUCUGUAAACCCCUCUCUGUUCUCCAGUUCCCAUCCCAUAAACCCAGUGGACCACAGCCAUAGUGUUGCCUUCAAUGAACAUCCCUCUGGAGCUCUAGAGUAAGUCAAGUUACACUGGGUGUCCAUUCUCUGCUGCCCUCCCCCCGGUGGGAUGGUUCUGCAUGACAGGGAGGGUGUGGCACCAUAGCCCCCUCUCCUUGAGAUCUCUCCCACCAUAAACUCAGUGGACCACAGCCAUAGUGUUCCCCUCAAUGAGCAUCCCUCUGGAGCCCUAGAUCAAGUGUGCAUAUGCUGAAAAUGAGUGCUGCAGGGGAGAAUGCCCUGGACCCCGACACCCCAGAGUCACGGAAGAGGAAGGGCUCUCCAUGUGAUACCUCUGGUCUCAG